rnacentral:misc_RNA from 1 species
CGAUUACAAUUCAUGGGUUUUGUUCUUCUUUUUUUGCAUUUUCUGCAGAAUUUCAAGUUUGGUGCUUGUGUUGGAUUCUCUGACAUAAAAAUGCCAAUUAAAUACAGGCAAAGGCUAUAAAUACAAGAUGAUAGUACAGCCAACACCGAGAAGCUUUUAAUUUGAAUACAAAAGAAGUUUCUUACAAGAAAAUAGAUCUUUGAAAUUGUUAUUAUUUAAGAAGAUUUAUUUGAUAAAAAGAACAAACCAUAGACUCAAAAGCACCUCUCGCAGGUCUCUGGAUGUAGGUAAUUAAGAUUCUUUCAACUUUGUGUCAUGCAGAUGCUAGUAACUUCUCUCUAGCCUGUUUGAAGAAAACCAGCAUUUCGUCUUGAUUUGGAAGAUUAUCUUUGAUAAUGGGUGCCUCCUUGAAAGUUUUAGUCCAUGCAUGUAGCCGAGGAAACUUGUGGGGUUCAAGUAUUUUUAUGCCCACUACUUCCUCUAUAACUUGCAGCCAGUGAGCAAUUCCACUACAGGCAAUGUCCACCAUGCCGAUCUUGUCUCCUCCAAAAUAUUUCUUCUCCCCAAGUGCGUGUUCUUCAAUGGUUUUAAGCAUUUCCAAGCUGUCCUUCACUGCCUUCUCUUGUUCUUCCCCACUGGUUCGGAACACUACCCACGCUGAUGGACCCUGCAGUGGCAAACAUAUAAAGGAAGACGAGUUAAAAUUUAGGAAGAUAAAGAUUCGAAGUAAAAGAGGGGUGUCGAAUUUUGAACCCAAGAACUCGAUCAUAUAAGCACUGAGCACGUACCUUGUCUUCAAUAAAUUUAACCCAAAACCUGACUACAGCUCUUUCAUAAGGGUCACUGGGCAGCAGGGGAUUUUGCGGCCAUGUCUCGUCCAAAUACUCGAGGAUGAUCAUGGACUCGCAAAUCGGCUUGCCACCGUGCACGAGCACAGGGAUCUUCUUGUGAACUGGAUUAUACUGUAAAAGCAAAGGGCUUUUGUUGGAGAGAUCUUCUUCUACGUAUUCAUAUGGAAUGCCCUUAAGUUUUAGAGCCCAUAACACUCUGUAACUAUAGGGACUUGGCCAUGUUCCAUGUAGCUCAAUUUCAGCCAUCUUUG